rnacentral:miRNA from 1 species
CGCUGUCUCUUGCUGGCUGAUUUUAAUUCUCUCCCCUACCGGGAGCUGCAGAGGAUCUGGAGGUGGCUGGACCC